rnacentral:rRNA from 1 species
AUUGAACGCUGGCGGCAGGCCUAACACAUGCAAGUCGAGCGGUAGAGAGGUGCUUGCACCUCUUGAGAGCGGCGGACGGGUGAGUAAUGCCUAGGAAUCUGCCUGGUAGUGGGGGAUAACGCUCGGAAACGGACGCUAAUACCGCAUACGUCCUACGGGAGAAAGCAGGGGACCUUCGGGCCUUGCGCUAUCAGGGGAGCCUAGGUCGGAUUAGCUAGGUGGUGAGGUAAUGGCUCACCAAGGCGACGAUCCGCAACUGGUCUGAGAGGAUGAUCAGUCACACUGGAACUGAGACACGGUCCAGACUGCUGCGGGAGGCAGCAGUGGGGAAUAUUGGACAGUGGGCGAAAGCCUGGUCCAGCCAGGCCGCGUGUGUUAAGAAGGUCUUCGGAUUGUAAAGCACUUUAAGUUGGGAGGAAGGGUCGUUACCUAAUACGUGACGAUUUUGACGUUACCGACGGAAUAAGCACCGGCUAACUCUGUGCCAGCCGCCGCAGUAACAC